GCAACCCCACGUCUAAGGCCAUGUUGCGACGGUUGCAAUUGUGCGGCACGGGAGGUGAUGCCAGCAUGACAGUGUUCGCCCGGAGCUAGGAAAAGACCUAGCGCACAACCAGCCCAUGUGAGCGCCGGGACCGCCGUGGACGUCGGCUGCGGAGCAUGAUGGUUGUUACGAUCCCACAUCGACUAAGUAUGAGAUUAGUUGAUGCUUUAUAAGCCUCUAGACACCCUUCCCUUGUAAGCUAGUUUUUAAAGGUGAGUUCUACCUAAUGAGUUCAUAACAGCUACAC